GACCAAACAACAACUGCCAAUACGCAAUUGGCCUGGGCCACUGCCUAAACCGCAGUGAGCACACGCUGGUCCACGACGCCUGCUGGUGGGUCGCCAGUGUAAAGAGCAGGAUGCGGUCCUUCCCUGUUAUUCCGUGGGCGGGGGGCCUAAGACCGAACGGGGUUAGCCCGGAGAGCACGCGUCCAUCGGUUUUCUCCGGGUGAAAUUGAGGAUGGGCUAAGCCUGUAGUGACUACGGUCGGCGCCGUUUGGACGCGGGUGCAAAUCCCGCCACCUCCACCA
rnacentral:tmRNA from 1 species